AUUGAACGCUGGCGGCAUGCCUUACACAUGCAAGUCGAACGGCAGCACGGGAGCAAUCCUGGUGGCGAGUGGCGAACGGGUGAGUAAUAUAUCGGAACGUGCCCAGUCGUGGGGGAUAACGCAGCGAAAGCUGUGCUAAUACCGCAUACGAUCUAAGGAUGAAAGCGGGGGAUCGCAAGACCUCGCGCGAUUGGAGCGGCCGAUAUCAGAUUAGCUAGUUGGUGGGGUAAAGGCCCACCAAGGCGACGAUCUGUAGCUGGUCUGAGAGGACGACCAGCCACACUGGAACUGAGACACGGUCCAGACUCCUACGGGAGGCAGCAGUGGGGAAUUUUGGACAAUGGGCGCAAGCCUGAUCCAGCAAUGCCGCGUGCAGGAUGAAGGCCUUCGGGUUGUAAACUGCUUUUGCACGGAACGAAACGGCCCUUUCUAAUACAGGGGGCUAAUGACGGUACCGUAAGAAUAAGCACCGGCUAACUACGUGCCAGCCGCCGCAGUAA
rnacentral:rRNA from 1 species